rnacentral:rRNA from 1 species
AACGAACGCUGGCGGCAUGCCUAACACAUGCAAGUCGAACGAGACCUUCGGGUCUAGUGGCGCACGGGUGCGUAACGCGUGGGAAUCUGCCCUUCGGUUGGGAAUAACUGAGAGAAAUUUCAGCUAAUACCUUAUAAUGUCUUCGGACCAAAGAUUUAUCGCCGAGGGAUGAGCCCGCGUAGGAUUAGGUAGUUGGUGGGGUAAUGGCCUACCAAGCCGACGAUCCUUAGCUGGUCUGAGAGGAUGAUCAGCCACACUGGGACUGAGACACGGCCCAGACUCCUACGGGAGGCAGCAGUGGGGAAUAUUGGACAAUGGGCGAAAGCCUGAUCCAGCAAUGCCGCGUGAGUGAUGAAGGCCUUAGGGUUGUAAAGCUCUUUUACCCGGGAUGAUAAUGACAGUACCGGGAGAAUAAGCUCCAGCUAACUCCGUG